rnacentral:rRNA from 1 species
AUGGAGGGGUCGGCCACUAUGACGGUGCGGGAGGUGCUGCACAUGUACAGCUUCGCGCGGGAGGCGUACGAGCGGUUCAUCUCCGUGGGCGGCAACCCGGAGCAGGCCCAGAACGCAGUGGCGCUGCUGGUGUGUCUUGACCAGGGCACCAUCGCCGCCAUCCACCAUGUCCCCGGCCUUGAAACUAGCGAUGUGGCCAUCGUCGCGGAGGAGGCCAACGCCGUCCUCGAGUGCCUCCGAUACCCGGUGCCCGUGCUCCCGCCCAUCCCGCUCAUAUCCAUGCUCUGCAUGCAAGGUGGCGUCUACAUCGAGCACGGCUUCUUGGCCUUCCACCAGGACUUACUGGUCCGUGGGGUUGCUCACUUCCUCGAUGGCGCCGGCAAGUUGUACUUCAACGACCGCUUGAAUGUAUUGCUCAGGAGGUAUGAGACUGGACUGGUUGGGAACCCGCCGGAGCUCAUGGAGCUCAAGUUGGUCUUCCGGUGGUGGUGCCGGAGGACUGCCGCUCCAUGUUCAUCACCUUCUCCAAGUCAUUUCCAUCGCGAAGAGAUCUUCGACUACUUCAGGGAGAAAUGGGGUGAUUGCGUGGUGAGGGUGCUCAUGGAGAAGACGACAAGAGGCAACAUGCCCAUGUAUGGCCGGAUCAUCUUCAAGACAGAGGCGAUAGUGAGGCUGGUGCUCAACGGUGAGAGGCUCGUCAAGAUCUCCAUCGAUGACCAUGUGAUGUGUCUGCGCAAAUACAUUUCCAGGCCAACCAACGUC